GGUGUUAGCUAGAGAAAACAAGAGCAUAAUUAUCGGAACUAUGCUGCGCCGUAACAAGCUACACAGAUGCUUGCAAACCUCGGACCAUAGCACUGUUGAAUUCGAUCCAGAUCAUCACACCACACAACGGUUGCAGACAAUUCGGCGCUCCAUGAUCCAAAAUCCGAGGAGUGCUUUAAUCAACAAUUAUCUAGAGAGGAGAC